rnacentral:lncRNA from 1 species
AAAAAUAGCUCUUGGUGUAUAAUAUAUCAAUGUAUCAGGCUGAUACUAUGCAUGAAUAGAAAAUUUUCCUGUUGCCCUGAUCAUUGCACUUUCUCAGCGGUCAUUUAAAAUGCAAAAAAAGUAUAGGGUAUGCCUGCGGUGAACUAAAAAAUGUGAAUGAAAGAUUUAUUGAAUCUUGAGAAAUCAUAGAAUAUAUCUGUGAGUAAUAUCCUUGUAGAUAUUUCUCAUUUCUCAUUCUUCUAUGAUCGUAGUAGUAUCGUUUAGUGAUAACAAUUCUUUAAGUUUACGGCAGAAAUUAGAUUUAGUUUCUGAUAUAUGAACUGUUAAAAGCCGUCAAUUUUCGUUCCAACGGUAAAACAAAGUCACAAGAUAGUAAAUCAGUACUAAUCGAAUUUCUGGUAAUGGUUCGAUCAGUCAACUCCCACUGUUCAAUUCUUUUUACAGGAUUCUUUCCAACUUGCCGGGUGAGAAAAUUCAGUAGUGGUGGAGUUCCAGGACAUUUCACGCAUCACAAACAAUAUGAUGUAGAAGCAUUUUUCACUAACAUCAAAAACGGUAGAGAUCAUGAACUUGAAAUCCUACAAUUUUUCACUAACGUAGAUGUUAUGUGUUCCAGUACUGACUUCAACAACCUGUUUUGGUAGUUCAAAGUUCAAAUAACUUUGACUUGCCACACUCUUCUGUAUAUAAAUAUAUAUUUUUGUUGUCCGUUUUGCACCUGUCACAAAUAAAGUCAGAUACAACAAUAUACGAGCGCCAAAAUAUUAAACCUAGAUUGGUCGCAAAUUCCAAAUUAAAUUAAAUUAUGUAUUAGCAUAUUUUUCUAACAGGGAGUUUCAUCGGCGCGUUUUCAAUAUCUACCACUAGGUGGCUAGGAGGAUGAAGCCAGAGAAUGCCAGGAAAUGGAGGGUUUUAUUAUUAUUUAUUUUUUGCAGUUAAUACCUCGGCAAAUAAGCCGUGCAUAUCAAAAUUACUUUGGGUGUUUUUAGAGGGGGACUAGGAUUUCACUUCUAUAAAAUUAUAUGUUUUUAAGAUGGUCUCGUUUGGCAGAAAACAGCCAUAGAAAACCCAAAAAAUUUCGCGAAUUUUGGUAACCCCUUGUUUUAUUUUAGCAAUAUCUAAAAACUAUAACAUUUAGAAAGACGCAUAUUUCACCAUUCGGUUUCCCGUUAAAUUUCGCAUAAAAUGGUCUAAAAUACCAUGCCCAAACCUACUCGCGAUUUCCGCAAAAUCGAAACCCCAAAAUCUGGCCUGGUUGAGUCGUUUUUCCCACUGCUGCAACUUUUACCAUCGAAUCCCACCUCUUCAAGUCACCCUCAUUUUCUCACAUUGGCCGUCAGCACUCUCAGAAACGAAACAUGUUUGGUUCGUGGCUUCAACGUCAUUUCGGCAGUGGUUUGCCCUUGCCCUCAAUCUCCCGAAUCUCGUUUUGGUUUUUCGGUUUGGUGUCGGCUUCCAUGACGCUCCACCGCCGAUUCAUUUUAUUUUACAGUGGCAUCUAGCAAGUUUUCCUCUGUUGCAUUGUUUACUUUAAGAUCACCCUCACCUGAACUUGAGUUCCGUUGGACCUAGGUUCGUAGCACUAUGCAGUAGCUAGGCAGCACUUGCAGCUAGGCACAGUAGCUUCAUCAACGUUGGUGGUGGUUGGUGUUUUAGUUUGUCGUCGUGUAAACUAGAUAAGUUCAAUUAUAAGUUAUAAUAAGUUCUUACUUAUCUCGAAAAAAUUCCCCCCCCCCCUAAAAGAUGGGAAUUUGGGGCUGGUGUUCGCAACGGAUGGAAUGUGCGACACGGUCAUAUUUAUCCCGUGCAUUCAGAUUCUAGGCCAUGUACAGAUUUUCUUUCUUCUUCUCUACUAGCACACAGCAUUCAUUAAACGUUCAUAUAACGUCCAACCGUUCGUUUCAGGCAGCUCCGGACGUUCUACUAACCGUCUAUUUUAAUCCAUUUUACGGUUUUUCAGAUGUGGAUAUCCAAUGGCUGUCCGACUUGUACCACCCUAGAACGAAUUAAAAUUUACGGUCGAUAGGAUCACCUCAGCGGACGAUAAACGGACGGACCUAGUUUUUAUAAAUAAAUGUUCAUUGCUUUUCAUCUUUUGCCCCACGAAAGAAUAACAAUUUAAGAGGGAUUCCCAGCCAUUCAUUUGUAUGCGCAAGCAGAACGUUUUGGCUGGAUCGAGUUGGUGCCAAACGAUUGUCCGUCCAAAAUCAGGUUUAAUCAGACAAAUCACAUGAUUGAAUCGUGGCACCGCGGAAUGAACGAGUUAAUGAUGUGGUCCAUUCAGGAUUUUGAAUAUUUAUAUUGAUUAUCUCCAACGAGCUGCGGGAAUUACCAUUCGAGAUUUUUUUUAGGGGGAGGGUAGAAGGUUGAUGUCCAGUCCACCAAUUACGAAGAAGAAGAGACAUUAACCUAGACAGGCAGAUAACCGAUCACCUUCAAGAAAACAUAAUUACCCUGCUGGAAUUUCUGAUCCCGUCUUCGAAUUAGUUUAAUCCGAUGGUGUGAGUCAUAAAUUAUCAUGGGGGGGGAGGCUAAAUUAAGGAUGGUCACCAGAAAACCUGGGGAAAAUAUGAGGGAAUCGCUUCUGAAGUGCUGCUUCGGGCUGCGGAUCCAAUCACUCCAGUUCCCGAGAUGAUCGCUCCAGCUUUCGACUCUGGAGGCGAUUGCUUCAGUUCUCGAGAUGAUUCCUCCAGCUCCUGUGAUGAUCGCUCCACCUGCCGAGGUGAUUGUUUAAGGUCCACUCCGUCAACGGAUUGUUCACCGUAGAAACGCCGAGAUUGUUGUGAUAUUUGAGGGGGGAGACUAGUGCGCGUACCUCACACCCUUUAAUUUCAAAGAGAGAUUGCCCCACAACCUCCAGCAAACGGCAAGCCCAUGUUACGUGGGAGAACUUGCCCCAUGCGCAAGUACCGAAUGAACUCGUUCGUCUCUUAUUCCGCACUAAUGCCGCUCCGCUUCCUCAACUCAUGCAGAAUGGGGAUUUUAAAUGUAAUCAACACAUGUCUGGACCGUCCAGCAGAUUUGGGGUUCCAUUGUUGCGACCAUCAUUUUUAUAGUCAACAAUAUGCAUUUUAGAUAACUGUAACAGUAGUAAGCUACCUAGCGUUGCCAGGUCUUAUUGGAAUGGUGUCGCAAAAAACCGACGACGCUUUGGUCUUAUGUCGUUUAGGGGUUUUUCUGGGUGUUAUUCUGGCGAUUUAAGUAAGCCAUUUUUCGUUAAAGAACAAUUUUAUUUGCGCCUAGUGUCGUAAAUUUCUAUUCUGGAGUCACAAAUUCAAAUGUUCUUUUGGCCUUCGGUCCGGCUCCCCUAAAUAAUAUAUUGUAAUCCUCCAACAAGGUGAAUAUUAAUGUCGUGAAGAAGUCCAAGAACAACCCCGUCUCCACCUUAAUUGCUGGGCCACCACUUAUAACCAUCAAUUCGCUAAGUAAAUCUGAACUUGUUUCUCGUCUUUCUGGAGCUUUGUCCUUACUAGAGAACCAACUUGUUGACAUUUCCAAUCUUGAAUCAAACGUUUCCCGUCUUUAAAGAUUAUUUGGAUUCUGUCGACAAUCAGAAAAGUGCCUUAACGAUGAGGCUGUCAAAAUGAAAGUAACGCUUGCAGAUAGUGUUAUUAGCCUUUAACGGACUAUGACUCUUCCUGAUCUUGCUCGCCUGUCUGUCUCUUCCCCGUCUUAUAUCUCUUUGGUCCAUGGCUUUCUCUCUAAUUUUGUCCUGGUAGCCAAAUGUGUCUAUGGUUCUGCACCCGAGGGUUUCUGUGGUAAAGAACUGCUCUAUACUCCCAACAGAGGUCUCAUUCCUUCUCAUGUCCGAUACAAAAAAAAAUGUAAUGAAAUGAUGUAAUGAUGUUUAAUGUUCAAUAAUGUGAUGAAAUAAUAAUUGUCAUCCUCGACAACCAGGUGGCAGUGGCUAAAUCGGUAGUCAUCCUGAACAAAAAUCCUGAAUUUCACAGCCGCUUUGAAACUACGGGUAAAUUAGAUGUGUCGUACCCGGUGGUGGCGUUUUUUUUACGUAUGCGACCCACACAAACGGAGCUUGAGCAACGUAAUGCGCUCUUCGUGAAGCCAAGUACAGUCCGCUAAGGUGAUUUUUACGAAGCCUCCGACCAUUGAAGGACAUGUCAGCAUUUUUCUUAAGUCCAGGGCAGUCUUGUUAAUUUUUGUAAGGUUAUUGCACGGUCUACCAGGAAAGGUAGCCAAACUCCCUAUCCUUUUGGUCCACCAGAAUA